rnacentral:rRNA from 1 species
GACGAACGCUGGCGGCGUGCUUAACACAUGCAAGUCGAACGGAAAGGCCCUGCUUUUGUGGGGUGCUCGAGUGGCGAACGGGUGAGUAACACGUGAGUAACCUGCCCUUGACCUUGGGAUAACUUCAGGAAACUGGGGCUAAUACCGGAUAGGAGCUCCUGCUGCAUGGUGGGGGUUGGAAAGUUUCGGCGGUUGGGGAUGGACUCGCGGCUUAUCAGCUUGUUGGUGGGGUAGUGGCUUACCAAGGCUUUGACGGGUAGCCGGCCUGAGAGGGUGACCGGCAACAUUGGGACUGAGAUACGGCCCAGACUCCUACGGGAGGCAGCAGUGGGGAAUAUUGCACAAUGGGCGGAAGCCUGAUGCAGCAACGCCGCGUGCGGGAUGACGGCCUUCGGGUUGUAAACCGCUUUCGCCUGUGACGAAGCGUGAGUGACGGUAAUGGGUAAAGAAGCACCGGCUAACUACGUG